GUGGUUUGUCUACAGUGAGCCUCUCCUCUCUACAGUCUACAGAGUCAAGUGUUCGACUUCGGCUUGAUGUAUUUACUAUUUAGUUCUAUAUUUAUGUGUAUGUGAUCCAUGAUUUAGAUUAUGCUGUGACAUUUAUUCAACUUUUAAUUAACCAAUAGCUUUUCCAUUGGAUAUGGUAAUUAGUCUUUGAAAUAAUUAGGUUGUUGUUGGUCUCAAGUAGCCUACCUAAAUUUUUUUAGGUUAUAUUAUUUUUAUUUUUUAAUCACAAAGUAUAUUUUGAAACAAACGUGUACAGUAGGCCUAAUCAUGGACAAAGACCACGUUGUUUUUCAUAAUAGCCCAUUAAAAAUGCGAGAACUUGUUGAUAAAAAGGUUCAAGUAACAAUGAAAGACGGAAGAAAAUUCGAAGGAACCGUUUAUACCCAAGAUCCUGUUUCUGAAAUUUUAAUUAUUCAUAAUGUAAGAAAUGAAGCGAUUGAUUUGAAUUUUAUUAACAAAGUUGAUGUUGAUAAUAUUGAAGUUAUUGGUUUGAGUGACUGUAUACUUCCUGAUAACCUAUUCGGGGGUUCAUCCUCGGUGGUAGAACCGUUAUAUUUAGUAGAAACAAAACGGAAACGUUUAGUGGAAUGGCUGACUAGGAAUAAUAUUCCAAUAGUAGAAGACAAGGGUAUAAUAAGACUGGGUGAUAUUUUAAGUAUUGAACCACCAUAUGAAAAAGAAAAUAUAUUUUCCCAAAGUGAAAUAGUUUUGGGUAGAAUAUUAAAUUUAAUUUCAGACAUGCCCUCUAAUAGUAAAUCCGUCGAUGAAUAACAUAGUAUGACGAGAAUGUAAUGAUGCGGAUCACCCUUUUUUGAAGAAGCAGAAUCCUCUCACAACCCACAUGUCCCCACAGCACAAUCCCAUACUUAAUAUGACUGUGGAACAAAGCAUGGUAUGCAGUCACCAGGUAGCCUCUUGGCACAAUGCUCCACAACUUGCACAUUAGGAUUAUGAAAAUUCGGAAACACUUUAUGAAAUCUUGGAAUGCACUACUGACGCCAGUACAGAGACAAUCAAAGAGAACUAUCAGCGAUUGGCUAUGCUGUACCACCCAGACAAAUGCUCAGACGGGAACAAUACUGAGCGGUUCGUAGCGAUUGACAAAGCAUGGAAAGUCCUGAGGGAUCCACAAUCCAGGAAAACGUAUGAUGCCCAACUAAUGUCUGUCACGUCGGUUCAACAACCGCUCUUAUUUGGAACAGUCACUAAAGAAGAUAUGGACGAGCGAGGUGAUGAUCUUCUAUAUGCGUGUAAGUGUGGUGGUGAAUACAUAAUGUCUAAAAGUGAACUGUUGAUAACCAAUGAUUCAGACUGCGACUUGAGGCUUUUUGUUGAAUGUACUGACUGUUCACUAAGCAUUUGUGUAGUCCAUGGUAUAGGGUGAUUAUCUGAACAAUUCAAUGUGCAUAUACUUCUCCAAUACUGUAUAAGGACAAAUUAACUAGAAUUAUCAAGAUAAAUAAACUAGAUUACUAGACAAAUAAACUAGAAUUAUCAGGUAUUAGUUAUAUUUUGAAAACUGUAAAUUAUUAUUAGACAUGGCUGUGAAGCAUAUUUUUAUUGUAUGAUUGCUCCAUGUUUUUCUACUCCGAUAUCUUAAAAUAAAAAAUCUUUUAACUUACAACCAACAUAGGCUAGAACUGGCCUUCAAUUUUACUGAUAAUGAACUUUAUCAAUUUUCGUACGUCAUCCACCAUCAGUUAGAGGAAAUUUAUUCGAUAUAAUAUCUUAUAUGUUGAAUCUUUAUUGCUUUUAAUAAAGAGUAAAGAAAUUGUUAUGUUCCCAAUUAA
rnacentral:misc_RNA from 1 species